rnacentral:sRNA from 1 species
UUGAAAUUACAGAAUGUGAAUAUUGAAUAUAUUGUUCAAAAUGGUUGACGGCACCACUAUUUCAUAUACCGUCAGUGUUGACGAACCUUUAAGGGAUGCAUGUGGGCAUUCAAUUAUUAUAAUCGCAAAAUUAUACUCUACUCUAGGAGCACAACCAGUACAAUUUCAACGAUGAUAUUUGUGAGCAACAAGCAAUUCAAAAUUCUUUUGAUUCAUGGAAUCUCAUACCAAGACAUGCUACUCAAGAUUCAAUUAAUUUUUUGCAACUGAUUAUCUUCAUGUCAAACCAAAGCAACGUAGAAGAAAACAACACAAUGUGUGUUAUCUGUCAAGAAGAGUUUGUUAAUGAACAAAUUCUUUUCGAAUUGCCAUGCCACUACAAGAAAUAUCUACAUUAUUAGCUAGAGAAAAAAGCUAUUAAAUGUCAUCAAUAGCAUUUUCAUAAACGCUGUCUUAUGUCCCUGUUAUGGUAAACCCUCCAUAUACGAUAGCGUUUUUUCGUAUGCUACGGUAAAGUAUUCUACCAUAGCAUUAGUAAGACGCUUUCAUAUAUCGACUUAUAAUAGCGAUAUAUAGACGCUAUGAUCUAUAAUUUUUAUGAUGCUAUAAUAUUCAGUGCUAUAACUCUACUUUUAUGCGAUUGUUUUCAAAAUAUCUAAUAUAUAUAUAUAAUAAAAAACAUCCAAAAAAUAUACAUCAUUUCAUAAACCAAAAAAUAAUGUACAUAACACAAGUCUCAAUCCAAUACUUAAACUAAUAUCCUAACUUCUAUAUACAAAAUCCUUACUUCGUUCAUUACUUCUAAAGUCUCAAUCCAAUACUUAAACUAAUAUCCUAACUUCUAUGUACUACUUUUGCUAAGGCAGUUAUUUAUGAGAUCAUGCAAAAUCCUUACUUCGUUUUCUAGAUAUUGAACUCGGUUCUUUAAGGAAGUUAGCUCAGCUUCAUAGGUUGUUGUAGUCUCUUCCUUUCUUUUAUGUUUUCAGAAAAUACUCUACCUUUUCUCUUAGGUUUUCCCCAAAUACUGCAGUCUUCAUCUAUCUCACUUUCUUCAACGACGAGAUUCAUAAUAUCUUCUGUUAGAACAAGAAAUAAAACAAGUUAAAUUCAGUUUAUUAUUGAGUCAUGACCACAAACUUGAAAUACAAAAUCCUUACUUCGUUUUCUAGAAAUACAACAAAUAAAACAUGAAAUAAAACUGUCUUGACCACAAACUUAUUGAGUCACUUUAUUAGUAAAGAAAACUCUUUAUACACCUGAAAACUCAACUUGCGACUGAGACAUAUCUUUAGCCUCAGAAGAGACUAAUUCCAUUUCCUUUGUACCUUUAAUUUCUCCAAGAAAAGCAAACUCAAGACCAUUGCUUGUAUCCAUCAUCGGUGACUCAUAGACAUAACUCGAACACCACUUACUUAGAUCAUAAACUUCUGAGAAUUCUGAAAAUAGAAGUGAAGAACCACAUAAGUGAAAUAAAUGUAGCUAGUCUAACUAACCACUAACAAUCCACAAAAUAAUGUGUUUGAUGCAGAACGCCUUGAAAAAUGGUUUGAGACAAAUCAUAAAUGUCCAUGUUGUCGAUUUGAGUUACCUUCUAUAGUAUAUUAGAUUAUU